GGUUAAGCGACUAAGCGUACACGGUGGAUGCCCUGGCAGUCAGAGGCGAUGAAGGACGUGCUAAUCUGCGAUAAGCGUCGGUAAGGUGAUAUGAACCGUUAUAACCGGCGAUUUCCGAAUGGGGAAACCCAGUGCAAUUCGUUGCACUAUCGUUAAGUGAAUACAUAGCUUAACGAAGCGAACCGGGGGAACUGAAACAUCUAAGUACCCCGAGGAAAAGAAAUCAACCGAGAUUCCCCCAGUAGCGGCGAGCGAACGGGGAGCAGCCCAGAGUCUGAAUCAGCAUGUGUGUUAGUGGAAGCGUCUGGAAAGUCGCACGAUACAGGGUGAAAGUCCCGUACACCAAAAUGCACAUGUUGUGAACUCGAAGAGUAGGGCGGGACACGUGGUAUCCUGUCUGAAUAUGGGGGGACCAUCCUCCAAGGCUAAAUACUCCUGACUGACCGAUAGUGAACCAGUACCGUGAGGGAAAGGCGAAAAGAACCCCGGCGAGGGGAGUGAAAAAGAACCUGAAACCGUGUACGUACAAGCAGUGGGAGCCUCUUUAUGGGGUGACUGCGUACCUUUUGUAUAAUGGGUCAGCGACUUAUAUUCUGUAGCAAGGUUAACCGAAUAGGGGAGCCGAAGGGAAACCGAGUCUUAACUGGGCGUUAAGUUGCAGGGUAUAGACCCGAAACCCGGUGAUCUAGCCAUGGGCAGGUUGAAGGUUGGGUAACACUAACUGGAGGACCGAACCGACUAAUGUUGAAAAAUUAGCGGAUGACCUGUGGCUGGGGGUGAAAGGCCAAUCAAACCGGGAGAUAGCUGGUUCUCCCCGAAAGCUAUUUAGGUAGCGCCUCGUGAAUUCAUCUUCGGGGGUAGAGCACUGUUUCGGCUAGGGGGUCAUCCCGACUUACCAACCCGAUGCAAACUACGAAUACCGAAGAAUGUUAUCACGGGAGACACACGGCGGGUGCUAACGUCCGUCGUGAAGAGGGAAACAACCCAGACCGCCAGCUAAGGUCCCAAAGUCACAGUUAAGUGGGAAACGAUGUGGGAAGGCUCAGACAGCCAGGAUGUUGGCUUAGAAGCAGCCAUCAUUUAAAGAAAGCGUAAUAGCUCACUGGUCGAGUCGGCCUGCGCGGAAGAUGUAACGGGGCUAAACUGUGCACCGAAGCUGCGGCAGCGACACUAUGUGUUGUUGGGUAGGGGAGCGUUCUGUAAGCCGUUGAAGGUGUGUCGUGAGGCAUGCUGGAGGUAUCAGAAGUGCGAAUGCUGACAUAAGUAACGAUAAAGCGGGUGAAAAACCCGCUCGCCGGAAGACCAAGGGUUCCUGUCCAACGUUAAUCGGGGCAGGGUGAGUCGACCCCUAAGGCGAGGCCGAAAGGCGUAGUCGAUGGGAAACAGGUUAAUAUUCCUGUACUUGGUGUUACUGCGAAGGGGGGACGGAGAAGGCUAUGUUGGCCGGGCGACGGUUGUCCCGGUUUAAGCGUGUAGGUUUGCAGACCAGGUAAAUCCGGUCUGCUUCAAGACUGAGACGUGAUGACGAGGCACUACGGUGCUGAAGUAACAAAUGCCCUGCUUCCAGGAAAAGCCUCUAAGCAUCAGGUAACACGAAAUCGUACCCCAAACCGACACAGGUGGUCAGGUAGAGAAUACCAAGGCGCUUGAGAGAACUCGGGUGAAGGAACUAGGCAAAAUGGUGCCGUAACUUCGGGAGAAGGCACGCUGAUACGUAGGUGAAGCGGUUUACCCGUGGAGCUGAAAUCAGUCGAAGAUACCAGCUGGCUGCAACUGUUUAUUAAAAACACAGCACUGUGCAAACACGAAAGUGGACGUAUACGGUGUGACGCCUGCCCGGUGCCGGAAGGUUAAUUGAUGGGGUUAGCGCAAGCGAAGCUCUUGAUCGAAGCCCCGGUAAACGGCGGCCGUAACUAUAACGGUCCUAAGGUAGCGAAAUUCCUUGUCGGGUAAGUUCCGACCUGCACGAAUGGCGUAAUGAUGGCCAGGCUGUCUCCACCCGAGACUCAGUGAAAUUGAACUCGCUGUGAAGAUGCAGUGUACCCGCGGCAAGACGGAAAGACCCCGUGAACCUUUACUAUAGCUUGACACUGAACAUUGAGCCUUGAUGUGUAGGAUAGGUGGGAGGCUUUGAAGUGUGGACGCCAGUCUGCAUGGAGCCAACCUUGAAAUACCACCCUUUAAUGUUUGAUGUUCUAACGUAGACCCGUAAUCCGGGUUGCGGACAGUGUCUGGUGGGUAGUUUGACUGGGGCGGUCUCCUCCCAAAGAGUAACGGAGGAGCACGAAGGUUAGCUAAUCCUGGUCGGACAUCAGGAGGUUAGUGCAAUGGCAUAAGC
rnacentral:rRNA from 1 species